rnacentral:rRNA from 1 species
AGAGUUUGAUCCUGGCUCAGGACGAACGCUGGCGGCGUGCCUAAUACAUGCAAGUCGAGCGAAUCUUUGGGAGCUUGCUCCUGAAGAUUAGCGGCGGACGGGUGAGUAACACGUGGGCAACCUGCCUGUAAGACUGGGAUAACUUCGGGAAACCGGUGCUAAUACCGGAUAAUUCUUCUCUUCACAUGAAGGGGAGCUGA